rnacentral:rRNA from 1 species
UACGUAGGGUGCAAGCGUUAAUCGGAAUUACUGGGCGUAAAGCGUGCGCAGGCGGUUUUGUAAGUCUGUCGUGAAAGCCCCGGGCUUAACCUGGGAAUUGCGAUGGAGACUGCAAGGCUUGAAUCUGGCAGAGGGGGGUAGAAUUCCACGUGUAGCAGUGAAAUGCUUAGAGAUGUGGAGGAACACCGAUGGCGAAGGCAGCCCCCUGGGUCAAGAUUGACGCUCAUGCACGAAAGCGUGGGGAGCAAACAGG